GAAAAAUACGGGCUUGUUCUCUGAUCGUGUUUACGAUAAACAUCACUGUCACGCCAAUUCAACUUAUAUACGCAUCGGAAAAUUUAAAGAUAAUCCCCGAAGCUUUUAAGAACGUGUAAAGUGGAGGUACUUUCCUGGUCCUGGAAACAUCGCGCAAGAAAGCAUAUUCCACAGUUUAACUAUACGUGGCAGACAAUUCUUUGAAAUCCACACUUCAGAGGCACCACACAAACAAAUGGAGAGGAUGAUAUCCAACUUUGUGGGGGAUCGUGCGAAGGUGGAUGUCGGCGGCAGGAUUCAGGUGUGUCGAUAUGUGUUUUGCAAAACUGGUAGAGUAUACCAGUAACCAACGAGCUAGGUAACGAGUAACUAUCUGUCAAAGCUUUGCUUAAGGAAUUUGUAACAUUAUUAUUUAACUUAAUUAAAUGUAUAUGUAUAAGAUUACAAUUUUAACAUAAUAUUUAAUGCAUAAAAUUUUUAUUAUACCUGCAUAAUUAUAAAGUUUGAAUAAUAAAGUUAUAAUUAUAAUAUUUAAAAAUAACGACUACCACUAAUAAAUGAAACAUAGCAAUUUAUCUGAUUCCUAUUAAACUGUUCCCACUUUGAAAAAAUAAACGGAAACUAGACAAGCUCCUGCGGCGCAGCGACCCAAAGUUGAACUUGGCCUCCGACACGAGAGUCCUCCACAUAGGUUAGGUCCUGUCCGAUAUCAAGCCAAUUCAUGAUUUUCAUCGUACAGGUCAGCGUUCGCCCGGUCUUUCCAACUGUACUUUGGGCAAACUACUGGGCGGUGGCCCUCUAGAUGUCCCGAGUAUACCAAUCCUCUCCUUUGUUCUACGUUACCAAGCCGGCAGAGAAGAUUAACUUCUGCAAUAAUGUUGGGCUCAGCAACGAGGUCUUUUAUAUUGGUAUUCUUGGGGACUCUCCGUUCCCCAUUUUCAAACGUAGGAUCUUUCGCUCUGCUACAAGUAGUCUUGGUCUUAUAAUGGUUUUAUAUGUUCUGAUUUUUGUCCUUCUACUGAGGAACCCGGACACUAUGACUUUGUGUAAGACACCGUAGCGCAUUAGUGCUCCGUAUAUCAAAUUCCUCCUCACGGGUGUUUUUGUCAGUCACUGUGACAUGUGAGAAAAUGGGAAUGGAGAGUCCGCAAGAAUGCCGAGAUAGAAGACCUCGUUGCUGAGUCCAACAUUAUUGCAGAAGUUAAGGCCCAUCUUCUCCGCUGGCUCGGCCACGUAGAACGAGACUAGCAGAUAGAAUAAACCAAAGAAACGAU